rnacentral:lncRNA from 1 species
CUGUAAUAGAAUACCUGAGAAUGGGUAAUUUAUAAAGAAAAAAAGGUUUAUUGGGUCCAUGGUUAUGAAGGCUGUAAAGUACAAAAUUGGAUGACCACAUCUGGUGAGGGCCAUGUGUGGCUGGAAAAGAGAAUAGCCUACUCUCAAAAUAAUCCAGUCCUGUGCCCGUGAAAGGUCAGUCAGAGAAAAAGCAUUAAUCUCUUUGUGAUGGCGCUUCCCCCAUGACCUAAACACCUCCCUUGAGGCUCCGCCUCUUAGCUCAGCUGCCGUGGUAACCACACUCCAACAUGAGUGUCCCAGCUGACAAACCACAGUCCAAUCAUAGGACCUUCAUUUUCUAACACUACUGUAGGCAGCCUGAACUCUCAAGGUUAUGUGGUCAGUCCUGGGACAGAGGCAGGUGUGAGCCCAGGCAAUCUGACUCCAGCACCUCGGCUUUGGGCCUCACACUGAGGCAGUAAAGAGGGACUCUCGGAGCCAAACUUCUCUCUUACUUGCUGUGAAAUCAUGGAUCGCAGCAUUGGGUCUUCCUGGAUGUCACACAAACACCUUUGCCAGCCCAGCACAGGGUCCCUGCCCUCAGCAGUGUAGUGAGUAGGCAUCUGCAGACACCUCUGAUGAUUCAUUCUUGGCCUCGCUCUCCAGAGCAUCAUCAGCAGGGCAUUUUCUGGCUCCAGGGAGGAAGUGUGGCUAGCAAGAGAAGAGCAGGAGGGCCAGUCCUUCCUCAGCCUGCUGAGUCAGACCCCUGACGCUUAAAGAAACAAGAAACACAGGCUCCCUCUGCUCCCUCUCUCAUCUGGUAUUCCAGAUCCCUUCAAGGCAUCUUGUUCUUCCAGGAGCUGCUGAGAAGGUGUGAUUCAUUUCAGGCAGAGUCCCCUGAACCCAAAGUACUGAGCCUCCUGUCCCCAGCAAAUGUCUUAAACUGAAUUUGAUGCUGACUCCUUUUUUCUCCUUGAUUUGAUGAAUUUGCUAGGACAGCUCACAGAACUAGUGGAG